GCUGAGGUAAUAACUCACUUGGUAGAGCAGGAAACUCUUAAUCUCAGGGUUGCGGGUUCGAGUCCCGCGUUGGGCA